rnacentral:lncRNA from 1 species
CUUUUAUUUUUUAAACAGGGUAACACAGAUUGUAAACACAACAGUUAGGUUAUUUUCAUUAGAAAGUAAAGUGCUAUCAAUUCCACCCCGUGGCCUGAAGAUGAAUAUGAAUCAAAUGGAGGUUUCUAAUGUUUUCCAGCCAGGCCAUAAGUGUUUUGGGGAGAAGGUCCUCACCAAGAGAGAAGCCAGUAGAUACAGUCUUAUCCAGGUCCAUGGGACACAUGGAUAUUUGGAGUCCUGGAGUUCUUACUCCCCUCUGUUAUGCUUUGUACUAAGGACUAGGAGCCUGUGGGAGGUCAUCCUGGCCACUGUUCAGCCCUUUAAACCAUGAGAGCAGAUCCAGUUUAAGGGAGAAGACUAACCUGCAUGCAGAGGUGUCCAGGCUCUUGACGAUGCAAUGUGAUGGCAUCAUCUAAUAAUGUUGUAGACCACACCCAUAGCUAUCUUGGAUACAUUCAGCCUGUCAAACACAGGUUGGACAUGACUGAGAAGCAAAGAAUGGACUCCUCUGUGUUCAAAGGGACUGUGGACAUGAAGGGUCUGCAGAAACUGGGCAUUUUCAUUUUCUAAUGUCCCAGUGCUCAGACCUAACAUUUUCCAAGCUUGCGUUUGUCUCAGAAGCAAAAUUCCAUUCCAAGUGUCUGUUCUUUGUCUUUUCAGCAGAGCAGGCCUGUGCUGAGACAGCUGUGAUCCAGUCACUGUGUGUCCCUGCCUUUGUCUGUCUCACUGAGAGGUGGGAAGAACUCGGCAUGCACUUCGGAACGUACGCCCGCCUUGAGGAAGGACAGGAGGAUGUGGAAAGUUUCCAAUCGAAUGGCGCUGUAGGGCAGUGUCGGCACACAUGA